AACGAACGCUGGCGGCAUGCCUAACACAUGCAAGUCGAACGAGAUCUUCGGGUCUAGUGGCGCACGGGUGCGUAACGCGUGGGAAUCUGCCCUUUGGUUCGGAAUAACAGUUGGAAACGACUGCUAAUACCGGAUGAUGACGAAAGUCCAAAGAUUUAUCGCCAGAGGAUGAGCCCGCGUAGGAUUAGCUAGUUGGUGUUGUAAAGGCGCACCAAGGCGACGAUCCUUAGCUGGUCUGAGAGGAUGAUCAGCCACACUGGGACUGAGACACGGCCCAGACUCCUACGGGAGGCAGCAGUGGGGAAUAUUGGACAAUGGGCGAAAGCCUGAUCCAGCAAUGCCGCGUGAGUGAUGAAGGCCUUAGGGUUGUAGAGCUCUUUUACCCGGGAUGAUAAUGACAGUACCGGGAGAAUAAGCUCCGGCUAACUCCGUGCCAGCCGCCGCAGUAAUAC
rnacentral:rRNA from 1 species